rnacentral:tRNA from 1 species
GCGGGUGUAGCUUAAUGGUAAAGCACCUGCCUUCCAAGCAGGCUACGAGGGUUCGAUUCCCUUCACCCGCUCCA